rnacentral:rRNA from 1 species
UACGUAGGGUGCAAGCGUUGUCCGGAAUUAUUGGGCGUAAAGAGCUCGUAGGCGGUUUGUCGCGUCUGCUGUGAAAACCCGAGGCUCAACCUCGGGCCUGCAGUGGGUACGGGCAGACUAGAGUGCGGUAGGGGAGACUGGAAUUCCUGGUGUAGCGGUGAAAUGCGCAGAUAUCAGGAGGAACACCGGUGGCGAAGGCGGGUCUCUGGGCCGAUACUGACGC